CAAUAGCGUAUAUUAAAGUUGUUGCAGUUAAAAAGCUCGUAGGUGGAUUUGUGGCGUACGGUGUGUUCCGGGCACUUGUUGUCUGAGUAACCUGCUGUUGCCAUCCUUGGGUGGAACCUGUGUGGCAUUAGGUUGUCGUGCAGGGGAUGCCCAUCAUUUACUGUGAAAAAAUUAGAGUGUUCAAAGCAGGCUUAUGCCGUUGAAUAUAUUAGCAUGGAAUAAUGAGAUAGGACUUUUUUGCUAUUUUGUUGGUUUGCGCAAAGAGGUAAUGAUUAAUAGGGACAGUUGGGGGUAUUCGUAUUCCAUUGUCAGAGGUGAAAUUCUUGGAUUUUUGGAAGACGAACUACUGCGAAAGCAUUUACCAAGGAUGUUUUCAUUAA
rnacentral:rRNA from 1 species